GACGUAGGGCGCGAGCGUUGUCCGGAUUUAUUGGGCGUAAAGAGCUCGUAGGCGGCUUGUCGCGUCGACUGUGAAAACCCGCGGCUCAACCGCGGGCCUGCAGCCGAUACGGGCAGGCUGGAGUUCGGUAGGGGAGAGUGGAAUUCCUGGUGUAGCGGUGAAAUGCGCAGAUAUCAGGAAGAACACCCGUGGCGAAGGCGGCUCUCUGGAACGCAACUGACGCUGAGACGCGAAAGCGUGGGGAGCAAACAGG
rnacentral:rRNA from 1 species